rnacentral:rRNA from 1 species
GACGAACGCUGGCGGCAUGCCUAAUACAUGCAAGUCGAGCGGAGUUGAUGGAAAGCUUGCUUUCCUGAUACUUAGCGGCGGACGGGUGAGUAACACGUAGGCAACCUGCCCUCAAGCUUGGGACAACUACCGGAAACGGUAGCUAAUACCGAAUACUUGUUUUCUUCGCCUGAAGAGAACUGGCAAGACGGAGCAAUCUGUCACUUGGUGAUGGGCCUGCGGCGCAUUAGCUAGUUGGUGAGGUAACGGCUUACCAAGGCGACGAUGCGUAGCCGACCUGAGAGGGUGAUCGGCCACACUGGGACUGGGACACGGCCCAGACUCCUACGGGAGGCAGCAGUAGGGAAUCUUCCACAAUGGGCGAAAGCCUGACGGAGCAAUGCCGCGUGAGUGAUGAAGGUUUUCAGAUCGUAAAGCUCUGUUGCCAGGGAAGAACGCUUGUGAGAGUAACUGCUCGCAAGGUGACGGUACCUGAGAAGAAAGCCCCGGCUAACUACGUGCCAGCCGCCGCAGUAA